CCUACGGGGGGCUGCAGUAAGGAAUAUUGGGCAAUGGAGGCAACUCUGACCCAGCCAUGCCGCGUGAAGGAUGACGGCCCUAUGGGUUGUAAACUUCUUUUAUACGGGAAUAAACCCGGGUACGUGUACCCGGCUGAAUGUACCGUAAGAAUAAGGAUCGGCUAACUCCGUGCCAGCAGCCGCGGUAAUACGGAGGAUCCAAGCGUUAUCGGGAUUCAAGGGGGCUAAAGGGUGCGUGUGCGGCAUCGGUGAAAUCCUACAGCUUAACUGUAGAACUGCCGUUGAUACUGCAAGUCUUGAGUACAUUUGAUGUGGGCGGAAUGUGUCAUGUAGCGGUGAAAUGCUUAGAUAUGACACGGAACACCGAUUGCGAAGGCAGCUCACAAAACUGUAACUGACGCUGAGGCACGACAGCGUGGGGAUCAAACAGGAUUAGAUACCCCUGUAGUC
rnacentral:rRNA from 1 species